AACGUAGGACACGAGCGUUAUCCGGAGUUACUGGGCGUAAAGGGCGUUUAGGCGGGUGACUAAGUUCGCUAUGAAAGCGCCGGGCUAAACCCGGCGAGGCUGGCGGAUACUGGUGAUCUGGAGUGAGGUAGAGGGAAGUAGAAUUCCGCGUGUAGUGGUGAGAUGCGUAGAGAUGCGGAGGAAUACCAGUGGCGAAGGCGACUUCCUGGACCUUAACUGACGCUGAAGCGCGAAAGCAUGGGGAGCGAACGGG
rnacentral:rRNA from 1 species